AACAAUGGCCGCCGCCAAUGUCCCAGUCCCUGGAGAGGUCUCACCUCUCACUGAGAUGCACUCAGGGCCUAUUAGGAGCUGGGGGAUGGUUUGAGUGAGCCCACAGAAGCUAUCUCAGUUGCUGCCUCUCUUGACCACAUUCUGCACAUGGACUUCAAUGAUGGUGCUAGCUCUCAUGGAUGUAGCACAGGGUGGAACGUGAGUUGCUGACUGCAGAGUCCUCAGUGUGGAAUCUGGCCGUCACCCAACCCAGGGCCGUGACCUUGUAUGAGCACCCUCGUUGUCCAUGACCUCCAUUUCCUCAGGUAUAGA